CCCAGAUCAGAAGAGUACCUAGGUGCAUUAAGUUACUGGGUCUAGGACGCAGACAUAAAUACCAGAGAUGUGAUUUGCAUCCAAGCCUCUCUGACCUUGCACCCUGUGCAAUUUUCCCUAUGCCGGGCUGAGGUAGGUAUUUAAAUAGAGGACACAUGACUGGAGGUGGAUGGACAGUUGAUUCCCAUGUUCCUUACAAAUAUGGAAAGGAAAGCAGUUGGGUUGGGGGAAAAUGGUACAAGUCCAUUUCAUAAGGUAGUAAAAUAUAGACUGAACUAUACUCCAGAUUUGGAUUUUCUUUUCACUCUGGGUUUACCCAUUUGGUAAUAUAUUUUAAAAGAUCAUGCCACCUCUCCUUGUAAAGUGAAGAAUUUGCUGUCAUUAGUAGCUGUGAAUUCUUUGCCUUAGUCAUUUUUUUUGAUAGAGAAAGUGUUUUCCUAGGUGAUUCUGUGCUUUCCCAGUAUGUCAUGGUUUCAUUCAGAAGGCUGAUGGCAUGCAAACAUGCAGAUUGAAGAGGAAAGUUCUCUGUGCCUCUGUGGAAUUGGAUGCCCUGGGGUCAUAUCCCUACAAAGAUUUUCUUCAGUGAAAGCAAAAACCAGGAGGUCAUUUAAUAAAAGAAAUUUCAUUGAAUUUUUUUUUUUGUAUUUCAAGUUGAAAAAUGAAAAAGAGGUGUUAUGGAGUAUCCAGCACCAUGGGACAAAACUAAGCAUUUGAUUUAAAUAGUAAAACAGUGUCAUGCAGAGAGCUUCUGAAAUAAUGGGCUACGAUAGAGAAACAUCUUUCUCUUUUCAAGACGUUCCUUUAUUCUGUAAGAAC
rnacentral:lncRNA from 1 species